rnacentral:lncRNA from 1 species
ACUUUGGAAAGAUGCUUUCUCUAAUUUUUAGAACCAAAACAGACCUGAAUGUGACCUUCGAUCUGUGGGGCCCUGGGAAUGGCUGAGCUGACUCUAUACAUACGUGUGCACACACUCUUCUAAAAGAAAUUACCGCAGCGCCCACCUGGACAAGGUCAUCGCACGUGUGACGCAGUUGCAGGUAGGGCAUAYGUCUGACAAGUUGCGUGGCUGUAAAACAGUGUGCCACAGGAGGCCAAGCUGCGUUUGUUACCAAGGACGACUGUUGUGGCACUGGCACAAUGUACAGGAGACACCCACUCCCCAUAUAAGAACUCAUAUAAUGCACUCCCCAUCACCACCCACUACAGGUGUGUAGWGCUUGUGCUGCAUCACAGUUACUCAAAUAUGUAAGUGUUUAUACAUGCA